UCCACUUGCCGACAAGUCACGCCUUCCUGUAAUUAAUCCACUUAACUAUUUUCAAGCAGUGAAAACCAUGAACUCAGUAUAAAAAUUUUUUCAAACCUCAGAAUUAAAAUCGAAUGAACAACCAUAAACUCCAUCCCAUCAAAAAAUAACAAAACAGAGAAUGUAAAAUUAAUUUUAAAGUGAAAAUUGUCAGCCAGAGAUAAUUGUCUCUCUACCGCGAGAGAUAAACGCGUGAAAAUUGCAUUCAACAUGUGCACACAGGGGCAUCAGUUUUUGCGGCUAACUCGACCACAGGACAAUGGCGCAUAAUAACUGAAAACGAUUUCGAGUCAGAGAAAUGGACAUUUGGAUAUGGGAAAGUGCGGGUUUUUAAUUUUGUUACAUGAAUAUUAC